rnacentral:lncRNA from 11 species
UAAUAUAAAAUACAAAUAUCUCUGACUCUCUCUCUCUCUGACUCAUUCUCUCUCAUUUUAACCACACAGGUUUGACAACAUGCAGCCCAAUCAGCUUUGGUGUUGAAUGGGGAAAACCCAGUCAAAUGGAGCAGAUAAUGAAGUACUACAACAAUACAGAUGAGACAGAACUAUGUCAUAAUAUCCAGAAACAGAAUAGAAACAGAAAAAACAGAACAUCUUAAAACAUUGGAUCAAAUCUUGAGCAAGGACAUCUAUCAAUCGCAAUCCAGAUUUCAAGAUGGCAGCAGCUAUGUCAUGGAAAAUUUAAGAAGAAAACAAGUCAAGUAAGAAAUAAUUUUUUUUCUUUGCACCAACAGUAAUGUAAAUUCACAUAUUCUUAAUUUAUU